UCCGAGUUGACCCCGGCAGUCUCUCACGAGUCCCCACCAUUACGUGCUGGCAACAUGAGACAAGGGUUGCGCUCGUUGCGGGACUUAACCCAACAUCUCACGACACGAGCUGACGACGGCCAUGCAGCACCUGUGUUCCGGUUCCCUUGCGGGCACCCCCAGCUUUCACCGGGCUUCCGGACAUGUCAAGGGUAGGUAAGGUUGUUCGCGUUGCAUCGAAUUAAUCCACAUCAUCCACCGCUUGUGCGGGUCCCCGUCAAUUCCUUUGAGUUUUAAUCUUGCGACCGUACUCCCCAGGCGGUCAACUUCACGCGUUAGCUUCGUUACCAAGGAAUUGCUUCCCCGACAACCAGUUGACAUAGUUUAGGGCGUGGACUAC
rnacentral:misc_RNA from 1 species